rnacentral:rRNA from 1 species
GGGUUGUGAGGUUAAGCGACUAAGCGUACACGGUGGAUGCCCUGGCAGUCAGAGGCGAUGAAGGACGUGCUAAUCUGCGAUAAGCGUCGGUAAGGUGAUAUGAACCGUUAUAACCGGCGAUUUCCGAAUGGGGAAACCCAGUGUGAUUCGUCACACUAUCAUUAACUGAAUCCAUAGGUUAAUGAGGCGAACCGGGGGAACUGAAACAUCUAAGUACCCCGAGGAAAAGAAAUCAACCGAGAUUCCCCCAGUAGCGGCGAGCGAACGGGGAGCAGCCCAGAGCCUGAAUCAGUGUGUGUGUUAGUGGAAGCGUCUGGAAAGGCGCGCGAUACAGGGUGACAGCCCCGUACACAAAAAUGCACAUGCUGUGAGCUCGAUGAGUAGGGCGGGACACGUGGUAUCCUGUCUGAAUAUGGGGGGACCAUCCUCCAAGGCUAAAUACUCCUGACUGACCGAUAGUGAACCAGUACCGUGAGGGAAAGGCGAAAAGAACCCCGGCGAGGGGAGUGAAAAAGAACCUGAAACCGUGUACGUACAAGCAGUGGGAGCACGCUUAGGCGUGUGACUGCGUACCUUUUGUAUAAUGGGUCAGCGACUUAUAUUCUGUAGCAAGGUUAACCGAAUAGGGGAGCCGAAGGGAAACCGAGUCUUAACUGGGCGUUAAGUUGCAGGGUAUAGACCCGAAACCCGGUGAUCUAGCCAUGGGCAGGUUGAAGGUUGGGUAACACUAACUGGAGGACCGAACCGACUAAUGUUGAAAAAUUAGCGGAUGACUUGUGGCUGGGGGUGAAAGGCCAAUCAAACCGGGAGAUAGCUGGUUCUCCCCGAAAGCUAUUUAGGUAGCGCCUCGUGAAUUCAUCUCCGGGGGUAGAGCACUGUUUCGGCAAGGGGGUCAUCCCGACUUACCAACCCGAUGCAAACUGCGAAUACCGGAGAAUGUUAUCACGGGAGACACACGGCGGGUGCUAACGUCCGUCGUGAAGAGGGAAACAACCCAGACCGCCAGCUAAGGUCCCAAAGUCAUGGUUAAGUGGGAAACGAUGUGGGAAGGCCCAGACAGCCAGGAUGUUGGCUUAGAAGCAGCCAUCAUUUAAAGAAAGCGUAAUAGCUCACUGGUCGAGUCGGCCUGCGCGGAAGAUGUAACGGGGCUAAACCAUGCACCGAAGCUGCGGCAGCGACGCUGAUGCGUUGUUGGGUAGGGGAGCGUUCUGUAAGCCUGUGAAGGUGUACUGUGAGGUAUGCUGGAGGUAUCAGAAGUGCGAAUGCUGACAUAAGUAACGAUAAAGCGGGUGAAAAGCCCGCUCGCCGGAAGACCAAGGGUUCCUGUCCAACGUUAAUCGGGGCAGGGUGAGUCGACCCCUAAGGCGAGGCCGAAAGGCGUAGUCGAUGGGAAACAGGUUAAUAUUCCUGUACUUGGUGUUACUGCGAAGGGGGGACGGAGAAGGCUAUGUUGGCCGGGCGACGGUUGUCCCGGUUUAAGCGUGUAGGCUGGUUUUCCAGGCAAAUCCGGAAAAUCAAGGCUGAGGCGUGAUGACGAGGCACUACGGUGCUGAAGCAACAAAUGCCCUGCUUCCAGGAAAAGCCUCUAAGCAUCAGGUAACAUCAAAUCGUACCCCAAACCGACACAGGUGGUCAGGUAGAGAAUACCAAGGCGCUUGAGAGAACUCGGGUGAAGGAACUAGGCAAAAUGGUGCCGUAACUUCGGGAGAAGGCACGCUGAUAUGUAGGUGAAGCGACUUGCUCGUGGAGCUGAAAUCAGUCGAAGAUACCAGCUGGCUGCAACUGUUUAUUAAAAACACAGCACUGUGCAAACACGAAAGUGGACGUAUACGGUGUGACGCCUGCCCGGUGCCGGAAGGUUAAUUGAUGGGGUCAGCGCAAGCGAAGCUCUUGAUCGAAGCCCCGGUAAACGGCGGCCGUAACUAUAACGGUCCUAAGGUAGCGAAAUUCCUUGUCGGGUAAGUUCCGACCUGCACGAAUGGCGUAAUGAUGGCCAGGCUGUCUCCACCCGAGACUCAGUGAAAUUGAACUCGCUGUGAAGAUGCAGUGUACCCGCGGCAAGACGGAAAGACCCCGUGAACCUUUACUAUAGCUUGACACUGAACAUUGAGCCUUGAUGUGUAGGAUAGGUGGGAGGCUUUGAAGUGUGGACGCCAGUCUGCAUGGAGCCGACCUUGAAAUACCACCCUUUAAUGUUUGAUGUUCUAACGUUGACCCGUAAUCCGGGUUGCGGACAGUGUCUGGUGGGUAGUUUGACUGGGGCGGUCUCCUCCUAAAGAGUAACGGAGGAGCACGAAGGUUGGCUAAUCCUGGUCGGACAUCAGGAGGUUAGUGCAAUGGCAUAAGCCAGCUUGACUGCGAGCGUGACGGCGCGAGCAGGUGCGAAAGCAGGUCAUAGUGAUCCGGUGGUUCUGAAUGGAAGGGCCAUCGCUCAACGGAUAAAAGGUACUCCGGGGAUAACAGGCUGAUACCGCCCAAGAGUUCAUAUCGACGGCGGUGUUUGGCACCUCGAUGUCGGCUCAUCACAUCCUGGGGCUGAAGUAGGUCCCAAGGGUAUGGCUGUUCGCCAUUUAAAGUGGUACGCGAGCUGGGUUUAGAACGUCGUGAGACAGUUCGGUCCCUAUCUGCCGUGGGCGCUGGAGAACUGAGGGGGGCUGCUCCUAGUACGAGAGGACCGGAGUGGACGCAUCACUGGUGUUCGGGUUGUCAUGCCAAUGGCACUGCCCGGUAGCUAAAUGCGGAAGAGAUAAGUGCUGAAAGCAUCUAAGCACGAAACUUGCCCCGAGAUGAGUUCUCCCUGACUCCUUGAGAGUCCUGAAGGAACGUUGAAGACGACGACGUUGAUAGGCCGGGUGUGUAAGCGCAGCGAUGCGUUGAGCUAACCGGUACUAAUGAACCGUGAGGCUUAACCUUACAACGCCGAAGGUGUUU